UACGGGGGGGGGCAAGCGUUGUUCGGAAUUACUGGGCGUAAAGGGCUCGUAGGCGGCCAACUAAGUCAGACGUGAAAUCCCUCGGCUUAACCGGGGAACUGCGUCUGAUACUGGAUGGCUUGAGUUUGGGAGAGGGAUGCGGAAUUCCAGGUGUAGCGGUGAAAUGCGUAGAUACUCUGGAGGAACACCGGUGGCGAAGGCGGCAUCCUGGACCAACACUGACGCUGAGUGAGCGAAAGCCAGGGGAGCAAACGGG
rnacentral:rRNA from 1 species